ACCCUAUCUCCUAAGCUAACAGCCGCCCAACCCCAAAGAAAAAAGCCAGCGACCGACCCCAAGAAAGAGGUCGUCUCUUUCAACGUUAGCAGCACCCUUUCCAUGCCUCUGCCCCACUUCCAAACCCAUCGCUGCUCCUUCUAUUUCAACCAAACUGCAGCACUCCGCCACAGAAAUCCCUAUGCAUCAAAAAGGAAACACACACCCAUGUAGAAAAACAGUGACCGGAACAAUAACAGAGAAACGGAGGGAAGAAGAGAACGGAAGGAUAGAAAAUUCGGGAGAAAAUAUUGAAGAAAGAAAAAGAAAUCUGGAAAUUUGGGGCAGACACAAAUUUUAGGGGGAUUUUUCGAAAAAAGUUUUUUGGGGUUUCUCAGACAGAAUUUCGGGAAGGAAGAAAGAAAAGCUAGGGUGUGGAAUUUUGAUUUUCCAUCGUUUUUUCUUCUAAUUCUCGGUUUUAGCCCAUUCAGGAAAAAAAAUAUUAGUUCAUUCGAGUUUCAGUUUUAUUUCGAAAUCAGUAAAUACAAAAAAGACAAAUUUCGUUUCUUCUUCUGGAUCUUUGUUUAAAAUGGAGUUUUAGUUGAGUUGAAGUUCAUUUGCCGAUCGAGGUUCGUUUGCGGUCUGUUCGUAUCAAAACAGAUUUCAGUCCGAGUUUUGCUUGAGAUUUUGGUUCACGGUUUUGUCCAUGUUGAUUCUCAUACGUUGAAGUCAAAAACAGUGUUUUCGCUGGUUUUUCAAUUACUAUUAUGGAAUAUUAGCUCAAUAGGUUCUUCUCUUCUCUUAGUCUUAAUCCAGAUUAGUAUGAAUCAAGCCUUGGAUGAGCCACUAAAAGAUGGAGAUUUAACUUUGAAGUGGCGAUUUCUCUUUAUUAUCCCAUAUCGAUUUUGCCUUUUAUCUCUCUUAAUAAAAUGUUUGAUUUAAAGAUUAAAUGUGUUCGAGGUGCACAGAUGUAGAGUGUUGUGUUGAUAUACCUUGAAUCCGGUUUGAUAAAUCGAAAAUAUUCAUAAAUAAACAACAUGUCUUCAAGUAUUUGGAAUGUUAAGUAGAAAAAACGAAGCCAUGUACUUGUUUGUAGGUUUAUCAUUAUAACUGAGAUCCAUGUAGGCAAGGGCGGAUGCCGAGAAUCGAGUAAUUUUUGCGUAAAUUCGAUUUAUAUUAAAAAAUUUCAUUAAAUAUUGAUAAAUAUCUUACUAGAAAUCUAAUUGUUAUUGGGUAUUAAUCUAAAAAUUACUGUAGGA
rnacentral:lncRNA from 1 species